AUUCAAAUCCUAGUUCAUGUUUCAAUGAACCGUGAUAAAACAAACAAAUCCAGCUUGGUGUUUGUAAAUACUUGAUGACUUGGGUCAGAGUCAUGGUGGCCAUGGUGACCAUGGAACUCAUGAACUAUAUGUCACUGGGCAGCAAGUUAAAGUCCAUAGAUCUCAGAGACACUGAUAACCUGGUGAUGGAAUCUAGGAGUUCAGGCAAGAUGCUGGUACAGUAGCAAUAAACCCAUCAGCUUCCUGGAACAAAACUUCAGCCAAAGGGUUACAUACUUUUCAUUAUCUCAGAAGGUGUAUUUACUUGAUGGCAUCCAUUAUGAGACCCCAGGCGCUGGUCUCAUAGCUAAUGUCAAACUCAAAACUUGACUAGGAGUUCAAGACAGCUUACACAAGGAUCAUGCUGCCCAGAAUCACUGUUACGAGAUAGAUGGUGAUAUAAAUUGUUUAAAAUAAAUACAUAAAAAUUUAUA